rnacentral:rRNA from 1 species
CCUACGGGAGGCAGCAGUGGGGAAUAUUGCACAAUGGGGGAAACCCUGAUGCAGCGACGCCGCGUGAGUGAAGAAGUAUUUCGGUAUGUAAAGCUCUAUCAGCAGGGAAGAAGAAAGACGGUACCUGACUAAGAAGCCCCGGCUAACUACGUGCCAGCAGCCGCGGGAAUACGUAGGGGGCAAGCGUUAUCCGGAUUUACUGGGUGUAAAGGGAGCGUAGACGGCUGUGCAAGUCUGAAGUGAAAGCCCAGGGCUCAACCCUGGGACUGCUUUGGAAACUGUGGAGCUAGAGUGCUGGAGAGGUAAGUGGAAUUCCUAGUGUAGCGGUGAAAUGCGUAGAUAUUAGGAGGAACACCAGUGGCGAAGGCGGCUUACUGGACAGUAACUGACGUUGAGGCUCGAAAGCGUGGGGAGCAAACAGGAUUAGAUACCCGUGUAGUC